CCCUGUGUGGCUCAGUCGGUUGAGCAUCUGACUUCAGCUCAGGUCAUGAUCUCCUGGUUCAUGGAUUUGAGCCCCACAUGGGGA
rnacentral:tRNA from 1 species